ACGUGUCGUCACUUCAAGCGCUGUAGUGUUCACUUGGUACGUACCUACCCCUAUCUCUUUCAUAACGUAUCAACCGCCCAAUGGACCAACGGAGCCGUGCUCUCUCUUGCAUCCGUCUUCUCUUAUUUACUCUUUCUUCUAAAACCUCCACUCUAACAAAAAGAACCAGUUUGUCUUCUCUAGCCACCAUGUCGAUUAACCUUAAUUCCCAUGCAUUUGCUGGCAACCCUAUAAGAUCCAAAACCCCUAAACCCCAUGACCCACUUUCCCCUUCUUCAGCUUUUGAGUCCCUCAAAACCCAUCUCCUCCAAAACCCAGAAAACCACCCUUCUCCAAGGUCUCCUCUUUUCAAGGUCUUGCCUUUCAGAAAGGGCAGGCCUUUGGCUUCUUCUUCUGUUAUCGGGGAUGAUGUUGUGCCCGCUUGGCAUCUGGGGUGGAUCAGUUUGCCUGAUUUUAAGAUUAUGUUUGCCAAAUGUGGGAUCCAGUUGACUGAGCAGCCUUUGGUUUAUUUGGGUUCAAGAGUUGAGGAUGAUGUUGUUUAUUGGGCUAUUGAUGUUUCUGAGGAAGGUGGGUUGGUUCCUGAAUUGGGCAGCAGAUACUUUUGCUUUGUGGAGCUUAGGACACUGAUGGUGGCUACUGAUUGGGCUGAUUCUUUGGCUAUGGGUGAAUUGGCUAUUGCUGGUCAUGCACGGGCAUUGCUUGAAUGGCAUAAUCUAUCACGAUUUUGUGGACAUUGUGGAGAGAUAACAGUCCCCAAGGAAGCUGGGAGGAGGAAACAAUGCUCCAAUGAGUUAUGCAAAAAGAGGAUUUACCCUCGUGUUGAUCCAGUUGUCAUUAUGUUGGUCAUUGAUAGAGAAAAUGAUCGUGCACUUUUAAGUAAACAGUCCAGAUUUGUACCUCGAAUGUGGAGUUGUCUAGCUGGAUUCAUAGAGCCAGGGGAAAGCCUAGAAGAAGCAGUGAGGAGAGAAACAUAUGAAGAGACUGGUAUUGAAGUUGGAGAAGUUGUUUAUCAUAGUUCUCAGCCAUGGCCAGUUGGUCCGAGUAGCAUGCCAUGCCAAUUGAUGGUCGGGUUCUUUGCAUAUGCAAAAUCUCUUGAAAUAAAUGUGGAUAAGGAAGAAUUAGAAGUUUUAGAGACUGCAGGCCAGCUUUUGGCAAAUCUUACAAUUUACCAGAAGACUUCCUAAAGUUGCUACCAUAGUAGCAGGUUUCAUCCAUAAAAUGGGGAACUGAGAAAGGAGACGUCUGAGUUUUUCUCAAGUAUUCAUGAGUUAUUUCAACCGGCAAAACUGAGAAGCAUGAUUCAAGAUUUAGCCCAUUUUAUAGUUGACCUGGCCAAAGCAUCCAUAGGGUCGAUGCAUUUUUUCAUAGGAGGAUCCUCUCGAGGAAUUAGAAUGUGUUCCAUGGUUGCCUUGUCUGGCAAAACAACUUCAAAGCCCUGCAAAUUGACAUUACGAGAAACGAAGUAUACUUCAGGAUGAACAUAGUGAAAAUUCUUCCAAGUGGUAUUUUUUGAGUGAUAUGUAUAAUAACAAUAUAGAAAUAUGGGAAAAGACGGCAGAAAGAUAAAAACAAAUUCAAAAGAAAGAUUUGAUGCUUGAGAAGCUCUACCAUCGUCCUUUAAGUAUUCUAAGAUCUAUAAAUAGAUACUUUUAAGUAUCUUGAUAGAAAAGGCCAACGAGAAAGAAGACAGAAUGCUGUUUUCAUGCCUUCUGUCUUCUAUUAGUUGUGUUAUGUGAGGUUUUCCAACCAAAUCAAAUCGAGGAAGAGGUUUUAGUUGACUGGAGCCCUCAUCAUCUUUCAGCUGAGGAUAAUAUAGUUGGAUUUUCAAGUAAAGCUUUGUUUAAACUUUCUUAGAUAGCUUUUCAAACAAUUGUAAAUAAAUCUUAAUAUCUCUGAAUCUGAAAAAUCUAAACAGUCACUCUAUUGCUCUAAGAGAUCAUCUGCAGCUGCUACAGCACCAAAAACAUGUUCCUGUUAAGGUCUUUAACGUUAUGGCCAAAAACACCUAUGAAAUAGGCAAAUGUGGUUUUGAAAUCAUACCCAAGCCAAUUUAUAGAGAAUAGAUCCACAACCCCAACACCCUAUGAGAGCAAUAAUCUGCCAAACUUUCAACCGAAAGAAAUAAGACAGAACACACAUAUAGAAUUGAAAUUGUCUCUGCCAAAUGUUGGACCAAAGUAACUGAGAUUAAAUAAGUCAUUUCUCCUCAACAGAAUUCAUAUGUCGAAUUUGGUGCACAUGAAAAACUUAUCUGCUCCUUCUGAUGCAAGUUUUUGAGACUCCAAUCUAGCUCUCUUUUAUCAUACAAUGCAUAUCAACUUGAAAUUUUAAUUUUUUCAGACAAGGAACCCAGAUAUAUUUGGUUGUGAGGCCAUACUAUCACAAAAAUAUGAUCCAGAAUCAGAUAGUCCAGUGAAGGUGCAAUAGUAAAGCUCAAAAGCUAAAUUUUUGUGAUGAAACAGAAGUAGUAUAAACAUAAGGGAAUG